rnacentral:rRNA from 1 species
UGCACAAUGGGGGAAACCCUGAUGCAGCGACGCCGCGUGGAGGAAGAAGGUUUUCGGAUUGUAAACUCCUGUUGUUGGGGAAGAUAAUGACGGUACCCAACAAGGAAGCGACGGCUAACUACGUGCCAGCAGCCGCGGUAAAACGUAGGUCGCAAGCGUUGUCCGGAAUUACUGGGUGUAAAGGGAGCGCAGGCGGGAGAACAAGUUGGAAGUGAAAUCCAUGGGCUCAACCCAUGAACUGCUUUCAAAACUGUUUUUCUUGAGUAGUGCAGAGGUAGGCGGAAUUCCCAGUGUAGCGGUGAAAUGCGUAGAUAUUAGGAGGAACACCAGUGGCGAAGGCGGCUUACUGGACACUAACUGACGCUGAGGCUCGAAAGCGUGGGGAGCAAACAGGAUUAGAUACCCAUGUAGUCCAC